CCCUUUUCAAAUGAAAAACUAAUACAAAGUGUGGUUCACUCAGUUACGUGAGUCAUACUUGAGGAAGUUAUAAAUUUAGGAUUUGAUCUAGUUAUGGCUAGAUGAGCUCAGUCUCCCACACAUUUCCCAGUGCAAUCAAGACCAAAGCCUCUAUUUAAUGUCUACUAAUCUUACCAGAUAAAAGACACGAGAGCAGGAAAAGACCCAGUGCAAAAGAAAAACAGCAGUUCAAGCGGGCCUUAUAUCCCUGUCUCUGUUAGAAGUUCACAACUAAAGACUGGCUAUAUAAAUCAAAGACAGAAUGCUUGCCCAGUAUGCACAGAUCCUGGGUUCCAUGGCCAGCACCUGGAGUCAGAAUUAGCCUUUUUGCUUCCUAGGGAUCAUUUUAGUUUGACAAAAAUCAUGUGGGAUAAAUAAAUUGCUUUUAAUUAUAUUAAGAUUAAUCAGAAUUUUUUAUAGCCACAUUAGUAUACCUAUACUACUCCUUAUACUUGUAAAUUAAUCUUCUAGUUCUUGUUGAAAAGUAUGACUGUUAUAUUUCUCCAAAAUUAUUAUUUAACCCCCAGCCCUGGGCAUAGGGACUCACACUUUUAAUUCUAGCACUCAGGAGGUAGAGGCAGGCAAAUCUCUAUGAGUUUGUGGUGAACCUGGCUGACAGCAAGAUCUAGGCAAGCCAAGACUACAUAGCUAAACUUACUCUCAAGAACAAAGCAAUAAGAAGAGAAAAAGAAAACAAAACAAAUAAACAAAAAAAAACAUAAAUGUGUACCCUCGGUAGAGGGAAGAUAUGAAAUGCCAUGAGGAAAUAUCCACGGAUCCUUUGAAAUGGUGAUCAUACUAUAUGAAACUUCCAGAGAGAGGAGGAAGUGCCUAUAUCAAACUCAGCCCAACUGCUUAGCAAUGCGUAGAAUUUAGCAAUGACAUGAAACAACUUACUAACUAACCUAAACAGUUACUGCAUUGUGACAAUCUGGAUCAUCAACUUGAAAGCGUUUAGAAUCACCUAGGAGACACACUGCCGGACUUGUCUGUGAGGGCAUUUGCAGAGUGGUUUAACUGAGGAGGGAACAGUACCCUUGCUGUCAGUAGCACCCUCCUAUGGCCUGAGGUCCUGGACUGAAUAAAAAAAGAAGACAGCUGGUGGAAUGCCUGCCCUUGUCUCUGUCUACCUCCCGACUGCAAAGGCAGAGUGACCAGGGGCUCACACUGCUGCAGUGUACCUCCCCCAUUGUGAUGGGCUGUACUCCCAAACUAUCAGCCAAAAUACUCGUUCCUUCCUUCAGCUGCUUUCAUCAGGAUUUUAUCACAGCAAUUAUCUGUGAUGUGCGAGUGAUUAGUACAUACAGAGAGACGAUUUAGUACUUACCCUUACUUCUCUUCACUUAACUAGAAAUCUGGACUAGAGAAAAGAGAAUUGGUAUCUGACCUGUCCUUCCCACCUGACAACUCAAGAGUUAGGUUUCGCAGAGCUGCUUAGGAGUUGAUGUUCAUGUGAGACACAAUCACACCCAGAAUUGUACAACUAAAGGAGAUCUCCAGGAACAAAGUGCUUAAUUCUACCUACCGAUUAGUUGUGUGUUAUGUUUAUAUAGUGGUGUAUAUAAAGCCUCUUUUUUGUUUGAUCUAAUCUCAUGAGAGCUAAAUGAAAUAUCAUAUGUUGGCCAGAGUUAUGUCAUCAUAUUCUUUGUUUAUAUUAAAACAAGCUCUACCAGAUUUUGUUUGUAGUAACAACACAUAACUAACAUGUUUCCAGAUACAUUAGCAAAGCCUACUAAGGCAGGAAUUUAUCCUCAGACAGCUCACAUGGUUAUGUCUUAAAAGCCAACAUUUUCUUUCCCCAGGCAUGCCAUUGUUUUUUUUUAACCAUACUUAACUCUAAAGAAUCUGUAAAGCAUGACAUAAUGACUGAGAAAAGGGGUUCAAAAUGAGAACAUACAGAUUUAACCCAAAUCAUAGCAAAUUAUCCUUGACCCUAUAUCCCUGAUCCAAUACUGUGUAACUACCUCAUCUAUAUUACUUAAAGAACUUAAAGGGAUAAAGCAUAUAAAGGCUCAUUACGUUUUCCAUAGAUGUUAAAAAUUAUGUUCAUAAAUUGACAGAAAUAUUUGAGAGUGUGUUGAGCUUUCAAGUCAUAUGAUUUCCACUUACCUUCUCCACAUUCAUUGUUCUCCUCUUUUCAAAGCCCAAAUGGAGCAUGCAUCUUCCUCAGUGUUUUGGUUUUUAAUAAAUAGCUCAGCAUGCAUGCAUAUAUAUAAAUAUAAAUAUAUAUAAAACAUUUGCUCAUUUUAUAGUAACUCUAUGAUUUCCAUUUCAUUCUUGAAUCUAAAUUUUCAUAUCUAUUAGAUGUAUCAAACUAAUUUAAUAAGAUAAAUUUGGUUUCUGCUAGUUGUUGUUCCUUUGGAGACAAGGCCACACAUGCGCAGAAAAUACAGUCUCCAAGUGGACUACAAACCCCAAAAUGCCCAGAGCCCUUUAAAAUGGGCGUUCCAACCCGCCCUCUCUCUCUUUUCUCGCGCUCUCCCCUCCUCCUUUCCUUUCGUCUCUUCACUCCCGUUCCUUGUAUGUUACCCUCCCCCAUUAAAGUUUACCCACGUGGGACCCCGCGUGUCUUGUCUCUCCUUCCCCAACCCCGCGCGUCUCGUGUCUCCCCCUCCCGAACAACACCCCCGCAUUAAAAAAUAAUAACAUUGGUGCCGUCUGCUCGGGGACCUUCUCGCCCCGGGGCCCUCACCUGAGGCCUCGGCUCUGGGUUUUGGCGCCUCCUGGAGCUCGGGGCCUCCCCCGGGACAAGGUCAGAACCGGACGACCUGCGACCACUCCACGUGUUCCAGCCAUCUCGACACGGCCCUCCCUCUCCAACCGUCAGCGGCUAAUUCCAUCCUAACGGUGACCCAGCUACUCAAGAGCCAGACAGAUACAAUCUCCAGACAGAUGCGAUUUCUUCAAUCAGCCACUUGAUGCCAGCGGACAAAACAUCGAUAUGACAUCAUCAGGACAAUAGGACGCUCCCCGGACCCCUCGACGCCCAAAGUCAGCAGGAAGCAGUCAUGAGAGACCGGGCUACGCCCCUAUUCCCUACCCGUUAAGACCCUCAACCCCCCCCUCAAUUUUUUUUUUAAUAAAACCAAAAGGGUGGAAUGUUGUUCCUUUGGAGACAAGGCCACACAUGCGCAGAAAAUACAGUCUCCAAGUGGACUACAAACCCCAAAAUGCCCAGAGCCCUUUAAAAUGGGCGUUCCAACCCGCCCUCUCUCUCUUUUCUCGCGCUCUCCCCUCCUCCUUUCCUUUCGUCUCUUCACUCCCGUUCCUUGUAUGUUACCCUCCCCCAUUAAAGUUUACCCACGUGGGA